rnacentral:rRNA from 1 species
UACGGAGGGUGCAAGCGUUAUCCGGAUUCACUGGGUUUAAAGGGUGCGUAGGAGGGCAGGUAAGUCCGUGGUGAAAUCUCUGAGCUUAACUCAGAAACUGCCGUGGAUACUACCGGUCUUGAAUAUCGUGGAGGUGAGCGGAAUAUGUCAUGUAGCGGUGAAAUGCUUAGAUAUGACAUAGAACACCAAUUGCGAAGGCAGCUCACUACCCGAAUAUUGACUCUGAGGCACGAAAGCGUGGGGAGUCAAACAGGA